rnacentral:tRNA from 1 species
GUCCCCAUCGUCUAGCGGUUAGGACGCCGCCCUUUCAAGGCGGAAACACGGGUUCGAGUCCCGUUGGGGGCA